rnacentral:tRNA from 1 species
GCCCCGGUAGCCCAACCGGCAGAGGCAUCCGACUUAAAAUCGGACCAGUCUGGGUUCGAACCCCAGCCGGGGCA